rnacentral:rRNA from 1 species
UACGUAGGGCGCAAGCGUUAUCCGGAAUUAUUGGGCGUAAAGAGCUCGUAGGCGGUUUGUCGCGUCUGCCGUGAAAGUCCGGGGCUCAACUCCGGAUCUGCGGUGGGUACGGGGCAGACUAGAGUGAUGUAGGGGGAGACUGGAAUUCCUGGUGUAGCGGUGAAAAUGCGCAGAUAUCAGGAGGAACACCGAUGGCGAAGGCAGGUCUCUGGGCCACUACUGACGUGAGAAGCGAAAGCAUGGGGGAGCGAACAGG